CACUAUGCUUAGCCGUAAACAUUGAUAGUGUUACACUCCACUAUCCGCCCGGGAACUACGAGCAAUAGCUUAAAACCCAAAGGACUUGGCGGUGCUUUAGAUCCACUUAGAGGAGCCUGUUCUAGAACCGAUAAUCCCCGUUCAACCUCACCUUUCCUAGUUUAACCCGCCUAUAUACCGCCGUCGCCAGCUUACCCUGUGAAGGUCCUAUAGUAAGCAAAGAUGAAAAAAAUCCAGAACGUCAGGUCGAGGUGUAGCGCAUGGAAAGGGAAGAAAUGGGCUACAUUCCCUACUUCAGGGAAUACGAAUAAUACACUGAAACGUGCAUUUGAAGGAGGAUUUAAUAGUAAAUAGAAACCAGAAUGUCCUACUGAAACCGGCACUGAAGCGCGCACACACCGCCCGUCACUCUCCCCAAACUCUAACUACCAAUCCUUACCUAAACUGUUAUACAUGAAAAGGGGAGGCAAGUCGUAA
rnacentral:rRNA from 1 species